rnacentral:rRNA from 1 species
AACGAACGCUGGCGGCAUGCCUAACACAUGCAAGCCGAACGCCUGUAGCAAUACAGGAGUGGCAGACGGGUGCAUAACACGUGGGAACCUACCCUAGGGUUCGGAAUAACCGCGGGAAACUGCGGCUAAUACCGGAUACGUCCUUCGGGAGAAAGAUUCAUCGCCCUUGGAGGGGCCCGCGUCGGAUUAGCUAGUUGGUGAGGUAACGGCUCACCAAGGCGACGAUCCGUAGCUGAUCUGAGAGGAUGAUCAGCCACACUGGAACUGAGACACGGUCCAGACUCCUACGGGAGGCAGCAGUGGGGAAUAUUGGACAAUGGGGGCAACCCUGAUCCAGCAAUGCCGCGUGGGUGAUGAAGGCCUUCGGGUUGUAAAGCCCUUUUAGCAGGGAAGAAGCGAAAGUGACGGUACCUGCAGAAAAAGCACCGGCUAACUACGUGCCAGCCGCCGCGGUAACAC